CCGACGCUUUUCUCUUAAAAACUUUCAGUCGUUUACACGUUGAAAGACUAAUGUAAAAUCUAAGUUGUAUUCGCUUUAUUUUUCGGAGUUUGUGGGGUUGGUUUUUAUGUAUCUUUGAGUUCUUAAGCAGCCUCAGUAACAUGUGGUUUUGUACCUUAACAUAGAUGCAAUGUGUACAGUAGUGUUACGGUAACCGUAUGAAAUUUUAAGCAGAUAAUUUCAUUACAGGAAACUCGGGGUUUCAACAAGAAAGAUAUACUUCACUCAUUCAUGCAGCAUAACUUAUUGUAAUUCAAUGACCAUAAAAAUGAUGAAUACAGAAUAAUGGCUACAAUAUACAAGCAGAUUAUAGCUACAAAUAUGAGGAAGAAUAGAAAGCAAAACGGACCUUCAUACAAAAUCUUAUAAUACUGAGACUAUAAAAAUCAUCGAAACGGAAUUACGACAGGAAAGAAUCUUUUCAUAAACAAUAAAGGUUCAUAAAAAAAAUCUAUGCCACGCCAUUAAAUCGAAAAGAAACAAACAUGCAAAGCUGACAAGAAAAGAUAUAAUUUAAAUAAAUUCAUAUCCAUACAAAUCCACGAGCAACAAAAUGUAUAGAAAUACAAAAGAAAACAAAU
rnacentral:lncRNA from 1 species